UAAUACGUGACCCCCAAGCGUUAUCCGGAUUUAUUGGGCGUAAAGAGUCUGUAGGCGGUCUGGAAAGUCUUUGGUUAAAGACCCAGGGCUUAACCUUGGGAGUGCCAGAGAUACUGCCAGACUAGAGGGCGUUAGAGGCUGGAGGAACGGUCGGUGUAGGGGUGAAAUCCGUUGAUAUCGACCGGAACCCUAAAAGCGAAGGCAUCCAGCUGGGGCGACCCUGACGCUGAGAGACGAAAGCGUGGGGAGCAAAAAGGAUUAGAUACCCUUGUAGUCCACGCCGUAAACGAUGGACACUGGCUAUCUGAAGUGUCGACCCUUCAGGUGGCGAAGCUAACGCGUUAAGUGUCCCGCCUGGGAAGUACGGCGGCAACGCUA
rnacentral:rRNA from 1 species